rnacentral:rRNA from 1 species
UGGGGAAUAUUGCACAAUGGGCGCAAGCCUGAUGCAGCCAUGCCGCGUGUGUGAAGAAGGCCUUCGGGUUGUAAAGCACUUUCAGCGGGGAGGAAGGCGAUAAGGUUAAUAACCUUGUCGAUUGACGUUACCCGCAGAAGAAGCACCGGCUAACUCCGUGCCAGCAGCCGCGGUAAUACGGAGGGUGCAAGCGUUAAUCGGAAUUACUGGGCGUAAAGCGCACGCAGGCGGUUUGUUAAGUCAGAUGUGAAAUCCCCGGGCUCAACCUGGGAACUGCAGCUGAUACUGGCAAGCUUGAGUCUCGUAGAGGGGGGUAGAAUUCCAGGUGUAGCGGUGAAAUGCGUAGAGAUCUGGAGGAAUACCGGUGGCGAAGGCGGCCCCCUGGACGAAGACUGACGCUCAGGUGCGAAAGCGUGGGGAGCAAACAGG